GUGACAGGUGGUGCAUGGUUGUCGUCAGCUCGUGUCGUGAGAUGUUGGGUUAAGUCCCGCAACGAGCGCAACCCUUAAGCUUAGUUGCCAGCAUUAAGUUGGGCACUCUAAGUUGACUGCCGGUGACAAACCGGAGGAAGGUGGGGAUGACGUCAAAUCAUCAUGCCCCUUAUGAUUUGGGCUACACACGUGCUACAAUGGACAAUACAAAGGGCAGCUAAACCGCGAGGUCAUGCAAAUCCCAUAAAGUUGUUCUCAGUUCGGAUUGUAGUCUGCAACUCGACUACAUGAAGCUGGAAUCGCUAGUAAUCGUAGAUCAGCAUGCUACGGUGGAUACGUUCCCGGGUCUUGUACACACCGCCCGUCACACCACGAGAGUUUGUAACACCCGAAGCCGGUGGAGUAACCAUUUAUGGAGCUAGCCGUCGAAGGUGGGACAAAUGAUUGGGGUGAAGUCGUAACAAGGUAGCCGUAUCGGAAGGUGCGGCUGGAUCACCUC
rnacentral:rRNA from 1 species